CCUCGUUGUGGCAGUAUCAUGUUUACUGGUCCAUCAGAACCAUCGGAAUGAACAGUUCCGUGUGCCUUUCGAUUUAGGAACAAAACAUUCAGGCUUAAUUAAAUGGACCUUACAGUUGGCGCGGUAAAGGACUGGUUUGCACAUCUGCCUGAAAGCCUGCAUGGUAGGGUUUUUCAGUGUCUGAGUCCUCGUCGGCCCUUCCAUUUUGGGAAGCUCAUCUGCAGCUGAAAGGGUGAAAGAGAAAGGCUCAUCUAAACAAGCGCUGCCCAUGAAACCAUGACACGCGUCCAGCUGCAGCUCUGUUCUCUGGUCAAAGAGAUAAAAUGAGAAAAUACUGCGUGCCCUUUCAUAUGAGCUCACUCAGUGAUGCGGCUUUAUUUCUGCGCGUUUUUUUUUUUGGUUUCUGGUGUUCGCCGUGGAAGCUUCAUGCUCUCAACAUUAACAGCUCCUGAUGGCCUGCGAACAGAACACACAUUAGGUGUUAUGGGCAGAUCUACAGAUGCAGAUUAUAUUUUGCUUCUGUACAGUGUCAAGUCAAAGUCUGCUUUAUUGCCAAUUUCUUCACAUUUCAAGACAUACAAAGAGAUUGAAAUUGCGUUUCCUACUAUCCCACGGUGACAAGACAUAUUACACCCAAUUGGUCUACAGACAAACAAAACAUUCAAGUAAACAAUACAAUAAGUAAAAAUAAGAAGGCACAUACAAUGAAUAAAUAAGAGCAAUAAAUAAAUAAGCGCAACAUGGUUGAAAUGGAGCAAUUGUGCAUACAGCAGACAGUCAGUAUAUAGCGCAAAAGUACAGUAUACUUGUAAUCCUUUGUUAUGUUCCCUACCCUUCGAAAUCAAUGUGAAUCUGUCCAACUCAUUAUUGUCUUUCUUUUGAAAAAAAAAAACCAUUAUUUGUGCUCAUCUGCGUUAUGAGUCUGCUGGCUCCCUUUGCUUUAAUAACCAACACCCAUUUGAUGGGAUUGCUGUGGUGUGAAAGCAAAGAGGGACCCUAAGAGCACAGGCUCCUUCAUUUCACUUGUCAAACUGACAUGACCAAACAUAUUCCCCUUUUUUUUUACAGUUUUUAAUAUUCUCUCAAGAUGCUGCAGGUUAAUAAAUUGGUGUUGGUGGACAAUCAGAGUGAGCUCUGACUGGCAGAUUUUAUGACGCAUUUGGGCAGUGACAGUUUUCCCUGUGGCUAUGGAGACAGCUUGACAUCACACCAAAUAAAAGGUUCCAAAUAUUACUCUUCUGUGACCUUCCUGACUGAGAACAAUGUUGGUGGGUAAACAUGAGGAAAUGCUUAGAGUGGAACUACAGGGAGGCAGCGUUUAAAUGGUAGCGAUAACAGGCUGAAUAAUGUGGAGUUGACAAAAGCAAGCAAGGGAAGGAGUGAGGUUUUGUGGAGAAAAGCUCAGGAGCAGCAAAUGUAGUCGACGUAAAAAGACUCCUACGCACUCUUUGUCGAGCCUACGCCUCUGAUUUGGAAGGAAAGGAAAACUUCAUUUUCUCUCCUCUUGGUCUCAUCCUCAAUCUGACAUUUUUUAUCGCCUCCUAAUCUUUCUCUGCAUUCUAUUAUACAAAACCACUCCUGCGUGUUCAGGACAUGGUGAAAAGCACACAGCACACGGAUUAUUAUUUUUUCUUUACUAUUGUGUUAUGAGUUAUAAUUUAUGCACCUUACAGGAUUAAAAAAAAAAAGUAAAAUACUAAAUGAAGGAUACAAUACAGCAUAGCAGUAUGAAAUGAAACAGCUGAGGGAAGCAAUUGGACUGAUCAGAUUUACUGUAAACCCUAAUCAUCUUUAUAUAGAUUUAAUUUACAUGCCCUACAUCCUGGUAUCGCACCAAAGUAAUUGCGACACACCGGUGGAUCAUUCAUAAUUACUGCAAAAUAAUCAAAAAAUGAUGAGUACUUUUAAUGAUGUACCUGUGCUCAUCAUACAAGCUCGCCCAACUGAAAUCUACGUGAGAGUUGUGAUGUCAUGGAGAAA